AGCUUCGAUCGACAAUGGCGUAUUGGGUUUGUAUUUCCUUUCUCAUUUGCAUUCUCUUUGUUUCAUCGUUGAAUGGAUACAUCUCUUAUGACGGAGUUUCUCAGGAAGUCCGGCGGUGCCGCCGUUAUCGACGGCGGACUCGCCACAGAGCUCGAACGCCAUGGCGCGGACCUCAACGAUCCUCUAUGGAGCGCCAAAUGCCUUCUCACUUCCCCUCACCUUAUUCGUGGGGUUCAUGGAUUUGCUGAAGAUCUUAUGGGGAAAAAAGUUGCUACAAUAUUUGGAAAGUGGGAUGAAAGCAUGUAUUAUGUUAAUGGUGACAGGGGCAACAAUAUGUAUUAUGUCUUUCUAUUUUAUAUAUCCUACGGAUUCCAGGCUUAGACCAGACCAACGACAUUUGGAGAAUGGAGAAUAUGAGAAGGCAAAUGCUGAGAAACAACGUUUAGAGAAAAAGCAAAGAAUGUCAAGGAAAUUACAAGAAAGUGGAUGGAAACCAAAAUAGUUCGAAAGAGGAAGUGAAGAUGGACCUUUCCGCUACAUGGGUCGGUAGUCCUUACUAUGUCGUCCCAAAAGUGUUACGGAAGCAUUAUGCUCCAGAAUGUGAUGUUUGGAGCGCUGGGGUAAUCAUUUAUAUUUUACAUAGUGGAGUGCCCCCAUUUUGGGAUGAAUUGGAGCAAGGAAUAUUUGAGCAGGUUUUAAGGGGAGAACUCGAUUUUAUCUCUGAACCAUGGCCUAGCAUAUCUGAAAGUGCAAAAGAUCUUGUUCGAAGAAUGCUUGUAAGGGACCCUAAGAAGCGGCUUACGGUCCAUGAAGUUCUUAGUAAGUUAAUGGUCUUGAUUGAUUAUUAUGUCAGGUGACUUAAUUUGUUUAGCAUCCAUAGUCAUACAUUUUAUUUUUCUAUUGUAUAGAUGCAUCUUUUUAGUCUAAAUAAGCAAUAUCAUUUGACACUGGCAUGAUCUGGAGCUUUUUUUUUUUUUAUCAUAAAGUAAAAGAAAUAUACAAUAUGAAUUGUUUUAUGAUCUAGAGUUCUGACCCUCCUUUUUAAAAAUUCUAAUGGUAUAAACUAGAAUGUGGUGAUUUGAGCAUUAGUAGUAGCUUUUCCCAUUUAAAAUAUGACGACCUAUAGUUUUUUUUUUCAUUCCAAAUAAUAUGUUCUUCUAACUUAAAACUAGGCUUCACAUAUUUGUUUUAAUGCUUCUAUUAUGUCGUAGGCCACCCUUGGGUUCAAGUUGGUGGUGUUGCUCCUGACAAACCUCUUGAUUCCGCUGUUUAAUCGCGCUUGAAACAAUUCUCUACUAUGAACAAGCUGAAGAAAAUAGCCAUUAGGGUGAGUAUUUAUCAGUCAACUAAACUAUAUAAUUAUAGCAGUUUAAGGUGUGUACAUAAGGUUAAUCAUUCAUUAAAUUACUAUUGGUUAGCUUUUUUAUUUCCAUUUAUAUUUAUUGCAAAGCACAAGCAUGUAUUGCAAUUAAGGUACGAUUAUUAUACUACGAUCCAUGUCCAUAGAGAAAAAAUGUACAUUUUGAUUAUGUUUAGGGUAUUCUGUUCUUUAGUGCAUGACUUGCAAUUGUUGUCCAUAGAUGUCGAUAAUAGUGGACAGAUCACUCUUGAGGAACUAAAGAAUGGUUUGGAAAAGGUAGAUGCAAAUCUCAAGGAUUCCGAAAUAAGUGGACUAAUGCAAGCGGUAAGUAAUGAUUCUGAGUAAUGAUUCUGAUUCAGGGAACUGUAAUAAGGCUUGUAAAAAUUGUAUAAUCAAUCUUGUUUGCUAUUUAUUGAAACCUA